GGAAGGGGGCCUCCGAAGCUGUGCCAGUGCGGCGUGUACGAGCCGCGGCGGUGCAGGAAUAACUGAAAAGGUGCUUUUACGGGCGCCCGGAUGGUGGCGGUGGCGGUGGCGGUCGAGUGUUUCCCCGGCCGGACCACACCGCGGCUCCAAUCGCGAACUGUUGGAGCCGGAAAGUCCAAGGGAGCUCGCACGGCGCCAAUUAUUGAUGAUUCAUCUCAUCUCAUCACCACCACCUCUUUCUUUGGAGUCUGUUAGUAUAAACUUCUGCAGCAGAACUGUCUACUUGGCCGGGCUAGCUAAUAUCAUCGCAG
rnacentral:misc_RNA from 1 species